rnacentral:rRNA from 1 species
UACGUAGGGGGCAAGCGUUGUCCGGAAUCAUUGGGCGUAAAGAGCGCGUAGGCGGCCCUGUAAGUCCGCUGUGAAAGUCAAGGGCUCAACCCUUGAAUGCCGGUGGAUACUGCAGGGCUAGAGUCCGGAAGAGGCGAGUGGAAUUCCUGGUGUAGCGGUGAAAUACGUAGAGAUUGGGAAGAACACCAGUGGCGAAGGCGGCUAUCUGGACGGUUUCUGACGCUAAGACGCGAAAGCGUGGGGAGCAAACAGG